AGAGUAUGGUUCUCUGGAAGACUAGUGAUUUUGUUGUUGUAUUCCUUGUUGCUUAAGUCAAUGUUUUGUAUAAACAUAGAAUUGCACUUAGAACAACGAAUCCUAGUACUCCGGGGAAAGAUACGCG
rnacentral:pre_miRNA from 1 species